GUUGACCUCGGAUCAGGUAGGGAUACCCGCUGAACUUAAGCAUAUCAAUAAGCGG
rnacentral:rRNA from 9 species